rnacentral:rRNA from 1 species
UCCAGAGAUGGAUGGGUGCCUUCGGGAACGCUCAGACAGGUGCUGCAUGGCCGUCGUCAGCUCGUGUUGUGAAAUGUUGGGUUAAGUCCCGUAACGAGCGCAACCCUUGUCCCUAUUUGCCAGCGAUUCGGUCGGGAACUCUAGGGAGACUGCCGGUGACAAACCGGAGGAAGGUGGGGACGACGUCAGGUCAUCAUGGCCCUUACGAGUAGGGCUACACACGUGCUACAAUGGCCGGUACAAUGGGCUGCCAUCCCGCGAGGGGGAGCUAAUCUCAUAAAGCCGGUCUCAGUCCGGAUCGGAGUCUGCAACUCGACUCCGUGAAGUCGGAAUCGCUAGUAAUCGUGCAUCAGAAUGGCACGGUGAAUACGUUCCCGGGCCUUGUACACACCGCCCGUCACACCAUGGGAGUGGACUGCACCAGAAGUGGUUAGCCUAACUUCGGAGGGCGAUCACCACGGUGUGGUUCAUGACUGGGGUGAAGUCGUAACAAGGUAGCCGUAGGGGAACCUGCGGCUGGAUCACCUCCUUA